UGCACCUUAUCUUCUUCAUUGUGGAACUCUAACCUCACAAAGGAAACCUUAGCUACCAACAAGGAUCCGCCGUCGCCGCCGUCGUUCUCUCCUCCAUUUGACAGCCACCACGAAACGUCGUCACUAUCGAAGCCUCUUUUGCAUAUCUUCGCUUGUCGCUGCAUUGCUCCGUUGAGCUUUUCCACCUAUCACGGUUGCACACCGUUCAGCAACUGCGUCUACGAACGUCAGGACAAAGCCGGUACUUCUCCGUCCGUCGAACUUCAGCCGAGCCUAGCCAUGAGCAUAGUCACCAAGCUGCGCACACAAACUUCGACCCGCGCAAGCCACGCCUAAGCCACAUGCGACUCAUUCCAAGCCGCACAUCCACGUACGUCGAGCCAUAGCACGAGCGACCCCUACCCGAGACGAUUCCCUCCUUCAGUCGAGCCGCACGUGUCUACCUUCCUCUCUAGCCAAGCCGUUGAGCCGCCAAAAUUAUUUUUGGGUCUUUUUCACCUAUUUUUUGACUGGUUAGAUCAAAUAGGGAGUUGGUGCUGUGGAAUUUUUCCUAAAUUAAGGUUGAAUUGGAUUCGACUUCAACUCAACUUUGGCUUGACCUUGCUGUCAGGAUUAAGCUAAUCUUCAGAUAAGAGAUUCUUCUUCUAGACCCUCGUACUGAAGUAAAGGUAGAGAUAGAGGUAGAGGAAAGAUGGCGACUGACAAGAAGUGACUGUGGCGUGCCAUAGGGAAACUUGCUUCUGCCGUUAUGUUAUCACUUUUGAUUUCAGUAUAUUUUAUAUAUAUUUUCAUUAUGACUCUUUUAAAACUAAUUGUUCACAAAUUAUCAAUUAAUUUAUAUAUUAACGUAUGUGCAAAACUUGGAUUUAUUGGAAUUGUGGAAUAAAAAAAAUGUUCUCCCUUUUUA